rnacentral:rRNA from 1 species
AGUGAACGCUGGCGGCAGGCCUAACACAUGCAAGUCGAGCGGAUGAAGGGAGCUUGCUCCUGGAUUCAGCGGCGGACGGGUGAGUAAUGCCUAGGAAUCUGCCUGGUAGUUGUGGAUAACGUCCGAAAACGGGCGCUAAUACCGCAUACGUCCUGAGGGAGAAAGUGUGGGAUCUUCGGACCUCACGCUAUCAGAUGAGCCUAGGUCGGAUUAGCUAGUUGGUGGGGUAAAGGCCUACCAAGGCGACGAUCCGUAACUGGUCUGAGAGGAUGAUCAGUCACACUGGAACUGAGACACGGUCCAGACUCCUACGGGAGGCAGCAGUGGGGAAUAUUGGACAAUGGGCGAAAGCCUGAUCCAGCCAUGCCGCGUGUGUGAAGAAGGUCUUCGGAUUGUAAAGCACUUUAAGUUGGGAGGAAGGGCAGUAAGUUAAUACCUCGCUGUUUUGACGUUACCAACAGAAUAAGCACCGGCUAACUUCGUG